rnacentral:rRNA from 1 species
UACGGGGGGGGCAAGCGUUGUUCGGAAUUACUGGGCGUAAAGGGCUCGUAGGUGGCCAACUAAGUCAGACGUGAAAUCCCUCGGCUUAACCGGGGAACUGCGUCUGAUACUGGAUGGCUUGAGUUCGGGAGAGGGAUGCGGAAUUCCAGGUGUAGCGGUGAAAUGCGUAGAUAUCUGGAGGAACACCGGUGGCGAAGGCGGCAUCCUGGACCGACACUGACACUGAGGAGCGAAAUCCAGGGGAGCAAACGGG